rnacentral:misc_RNA from 1 species
AACGCACAUUGCGCCCUGUGGUAUUCCGCAGGGCAUGCCUGUUCGAGCGUCAUUAUAGCCAAUCAAGCCUAGCUUGGUAUUGGGGCACGCACUCUCGCGGCCCUCAAAUACAACAGCAGUCUAAGCGGACUCUAAGCGUAGUAAAUCUCCUCGCUAUUGAGUUCUGUGGUGGCUCGCUAAAACCUCCACUUCUCACGGUUGACCUCGGAUCAGGUAGGGAUACCCGCUGAACUUAA